rnacentral:misc_RNA from 1 species
CGCACCUUGCACCUUUUGGCAUUCCGAAAGGUACAUCUGUUUGAGUGUCAUGAAUACCUCAACCCUUAUAUUUUCUUCGAAUUUGUAGGGUGUUGGAUGCUGAGUGUUGCUGUGCUACAGCUCGCUUUAAAUUAAUUAGCAAUCUUUGUACUACUCGGAUUGACUCGACGUGAUAAGAUCUUCGUUGAGGAUGCUUCAGCAGCCGAAUUGUUACAAGUCGCUCCUAACAAACCCCUUUAAAUUAAGACCUCAAAUCAGAUGGGACUACCCGCUGAACUUAA